GCCCCUUUGUGCUGUGCUGGGGACAGCGCUCACCUCACGCCCUUGCAGAUGUGGCACCGGGCGAUGCGGUUGGUGGACAUCAGGACGGGUUGAGGUGUGACUGGAUGAUCUUACAGCACCCAAUCCUUCCUAACCCACGGCUCACCCAUCAGCCACCAUUCAUCUGAACAGCUGUACUGGGAAAUCACACUGAGAAGGCACAGUAACAGUGAUUAAAUGCCAUGUCUGCUCUCUGCUUGGCUCUGGUUCCCGCAAACCUAAUCAUGUAAGAGCAGAGGAAAAGAGAAACCUUUCCAAGCAUGGCUAAACCCAUUAAAAGGAGACAUGAUGCCACACCCAAGAGGCAAAUAAAAUAGAAAUGCACAUCUGGGCUGCUGUAAAACAGCCUCUGUAA